GACGAACGCUGGCGGCGUGCCUAAUACAUGCAAGUUGAGCGCUGAAGGUUGGUACUUGUACCAACUGGAUGAGCAGCGAACGGGUGAGUAACGCGUGGGGAAUCUGCCUUUGAGCGGGGGACAACAUUUGGAAACGAAUGCUAAUACCGCAUAAAAACUUUAAACACAAGUUUUAAGUUUGAAAGAUGCAAUUGCAUCACUCAAAGAUGAUCCCGCGUUGUAUUAGCUAGUUGGUGAGGUAAAGGCUCACCAAGGCGAUGAUACAUAGCCGACCUGAGAGGGUGAUCGGCCACAUUGGGACUGAGACACGGCCCAAACGCCUACGGGAGGCAGCAGUAGGGAAUCUUCGGCAAUGGACGAAAGUCUGACCGAGCAACGCCGCGGGAGUGAAGAAGGUUGUCGGAUCGUAAAACUCUGUUGGUAGAGAAGAACGUUGGUGAGAGUGGAAAGCUCAUCAAGUGACGGUAACUACCCAGAAAGGGACGGCUAACUACGUG
rnacentral:rRNA from 1 species